CAGCAGUUUUUUUGCAUUCGUUAUUAUUAUUAUUUACAUUUAUUAUUUAUUCAUCAGGGAGUGUUGGUGAUUUUGGCCUCUCAUCUUUCUCUUAUUGGCAGUAAGGGGGCGUUUGACACCAGUGCAGGUGAAGAACUCUCCCCGCUGUGCUCCAUUUGGUGCCGUCCUUCACCUCGGCCACUGACCGGACGGUCAUCGUCCCGCAUGGCUCCUCACGGACCGCCAACAAAUGCUGCCACAAAUGGAUCUAAUUGGCACCUCUGCAUGCCCCGUCCAGAGGAGGGCAGAGAUCAGGUGGGCAGACGCGGGACGGAGAGAAACAAGUGCAGAGUUUUGAUAUGCACACAUUUUAUUUUUUAAAGUUGCAUUUAAUU
ensembl:lncRNA